CAACUGGUAAUUAUGCACGUAUGUUUCAGGCCUCCGGGACUAUAGGAAGGGGUCUACCUGCCUGCUAGCCAAAGAGCUUGAGCAUCAGUCGCUAAGGUGGAAUUUCAAUAACAAGGAAAUAUUCAGAAAGGAACUAGACAGUUCAAAGCGACGUGCAGAAGAUGACAGUCGAGUCACAGAACGUGUCAUUCAGUGUGACCCAAACAAAGAUCUACACACAUGCAAGAGGCAUUUCUCAUUUGGUACACUGACUCACUCGUCCCCAUCAGAUAGGGCAGCAUCAAAGGCACUCUAUUUCUGUCUGUCUCUGGCCAUCGCUCUGCUGACAUCUGCUCUGCUGAUGUUGUUGAAGCUCUGUCUCGAUUGUGCUUGGUCUCGAUUGUUCUCACUCGGUACAGAAAGUACAUACAGUGCAUUCGGUAAAGUAUAUAUUCAAAAAUGGAUUAAAUCAUUUUUUCCCUAAUCAAUCUACACACAACACCAAAUAAUGACCAAUCAAAAAC